GGGGCUGCAGCUCAGUGGUAGAGCACUCGCCUAGCAUGCGAGGCACUUGGUUCAAUCCUCAGCACCA
rnacentral:tRNA from 1 species